AACGAACGCUGGCGGCGUGCCUAACACAUGCAAGUCGAACGUGAUUGGAAGCUUGCUUCCAUGAAAGUGGCGCACGGGUGAGUAACGCGUAGAUAAUCUACCUGAUGAUCCGGGAUAACACUUCGAAAGGGGUGCUAAUACCUGAUAAGCCCACGGAGUCCUUGGACUUUGCGGGAAAAGGGGGGGAUCGCAAGACCUUCCGUCAUCAGAUGAGUCUGCGUACCAUUAGCUAGCUGGUAGGGUAAAGGCCUACCAAGGCGACGAUGGUUAGCUGGUCUGAGAGGAUGAUCAGCCACACUGGAACUGAAACACGGUCCAGACUCCUACGGGAGGCAGCAGUGGGGAAUUUUGCGCAAUGGGGGAAACCCUGACGCAGCAACGCCGCGUGAGUGAUGAAGGCCCUUGGGUCGUAAAGCUCUGACAGAGGGAAAGAAAUGCAGAGUGGCUAAUAUCCACCUUGCUUGACGGUACCCUCAAAGGAAGCACCGGCUAACUCCGUGCCAGCCGCAGCAGUAACAC
rnacentral:rRNA from 1 species